rnacentral:rRNA from 1 species
UACGUAGGGUGCGAGCGUUGUCCGGAAUUAUUGGGCGUAAAGAGCUCGUAGGCGGUGUGUCGCGUCGGCCGUGAAAACCUGGGGCUUAACUCUGGGCGUGCGGUCGAUACGGGCAUCACUGGAGUUCGGCAGGGGAGACUGGGAUUCCUGGUGUAGCGGUGAAAUGCGCAGAUAUCAGGAGGAACACCGGUGGCGAAGGCGGGUCUCUGGGCCGAUACUGACGCUGAGGAGCGAAAGCAUGGGUAGCGAACAGG